CCUGGUGGCUUCCUUUU
rnacentral:miRNA from 1 species